rnacentral:rRNA from 1 species
GACGAACGCUGGCGGCGUGCUUAACACAUGCAAGUCGAACGAAGAGCGACGGAAGCUUGCUUCUAUCAAUCUUAGUGGCGAACGGGUGAGUAACGCGUAAUCAACCUGCCCUUCAGAGGGGGACAACAGUUGGAAACGACUGCUAAUACCGCAUACGAUCUAAUCUCGGCAUCGAGGAUAGAUGAAAGGUGGCCUCUACAUGUAAGCUAUCACUGAAGGAGGGGAUUGCGUCUGAUUAGCUAGUUGGAGGGGUAACGGCCCACCAAGGCGAUGAUCAGUAGCCGGUCUGAGAGGAUGAACGGCCACAUUGGGACUGAGACACGGCCCAGACUCCUACGGGAGGCAGCAGUGGGGAAUCUUCCGCAAUGGACGAAAGUCUGACGGAGCAACGCCGCGUGAGUGAUGACGGCCUUCGGGUUGUAAAGCUCUGUUAAUCGGGACGAAAGGCCUUCUUGCAAAUAUUGAGAAGGAUAGAACG